GAUGAACGCUGGCGGCGUGCCUAAUACAUGCAAGUCGAGCGAACAGACGAGGAGCUUGCUCCUUUGACGUUAGCGGCGGACGGGUGAGUAACACGUGGAUAACCUACCUAUAAGACUGGGAUAACUUCGGGAAACCGGAGCUAAUACCGGAUAACAUGUUGAACCGCAUGGUUCAACAGUGAAAGACGGUCUUGCUGUCACUUAUAGAUGGAUCCGCGCCGCAUUAGCUAGUUGGUAAGGUAACGGCUUACCAAGGCAACGAUGCGUAGCCGACCUGAGAGGGUGAUCGGCCCCACUGGAACUGAGACACGGUCCAGACUCCUACGGGAGGCAGCAGUAGGGAAUCUUCCGCAAUGGGCGAAAGCCUGACGGAGCAACGCCGCGUGAGUGAAGAAGGUCUUCGGAUCGUAAAACUCUGUUAUUAGGGAAGAACAAAUGUGUAAGUAACUAUGCACGUCUUGACGGUACCUAAUCAGAAAGCCACGGCUAACUACGUG
rnacentral:rRNA from 1 species